UCACGGUAGCUCAGCAUCGCACAAGCACGC
rnacentral:sRNA from 1 species